AAUAGGCUAGGUCUAAAGUGAUUCAGCCCAAAAGAAAAUAACAUGCAAUAUAAAUAAAAUAUGAAAAAUAACUGUAGAUACGUAAUUUUGUCCCUCUCGAAAAUGUAUUUUUACCUAUUUACCCAAUUCUAUCAUGUACCCUCAAUCAUGUCAUGAUUUCCCCACUAAAAUACAAAAUAAUAAAUCCCUAACAAGCCCUCAACGAAUUCACUAUCCACCCUAACUAAUUUUGCCAUCUUCCACCCCCACAUCUUACCCCACCUACCCCACAUACCCCUCCCAACUUACUUUUAUGACCAUUCUCUCCUCUAACGGGAUCCAUACAUCCAUUUACUCACAGGUGUAGAGAUUGAGAGUAACAAUACAUAUACUCACAGACACCUCACUAGAAGGAGGUCUUCAUUUUUCUUAUCUUUCAAAGAACACCCACAUAACAACGGAGAAAAACACAUACUCAGAGUUAGAUAGGUACAUAAACAAUAAUAUAUUUUACAGACUAGAGGAAAUAAUUUCCAUUUUUUUGUGAACACUACAAUACACAGGCAGAGAGAACAGCUCACACACACACACACAGUUCACCAGAGUUCGCACGUACCCCGCAGGAAAAACAUCCACACAUCAUGUCACUCACGAUACACUCAUCGACAUACACCAUCGGUGAUGGAUGGAAAAAGGGGUUGUGAGAGCUAGAUUAGAGAAACAGAGAGAGAUCAAAAAAAGGAGAAUUGGGUGUUUGGCUAUUUUUGGUGAGUUUUUGCUAGAAACUAGACCGAAUUACUGCCAGAUAGAUUGAAAGCCACGGUUUGGCUACUGUUUCGGUGAAACCGACCGAAGAAAAGUACUGUCAGUUCCAUUUCGACCUAAAUUCAUGCCAAAAAGGUUAUUCUCUCCCUGUUUUCAGUUUAAAUCUGCCGAAAAUCCCAUUGAUUGCACAAGCAGACCAGAAAUCACAUUCGCUGCUCAAGUUGUGGUUAUAAUUUGGGUGUUCGGAUUGCUCGUAUUAUUUGUGGGUAUAUACCUUGGUUCAUUGCACUAUCAUUCAAAGAAAAGAGACAAUCGAGGUCAAGGUUUUUCAUUUAUUGCGUGCUAGUUUGAGGUUCUGAAUCUGCAAAGAUUCUCUUUUUAAUGGAAUGAAAGUGACAUUAAGACUUUAUAAGCAAGAAGAAGAUCACGAGUUGGUCGAGGUUCGAUGCAAACAUGGAUAUUUUUUGCCUUUGAUGACUUCAUGGACCUCAAGAAAUCCAGGUAGACGAUAUUGGACUUGUCCUUACUAUGGAAAUGCUAGAUCAUGCAAUUUUUGGCUUUGGAAGGAUGAUUCUAUUGAUGAAUGAUCAAAAUUUGUUAUUCCUAAAUUGUUGGGAAGAAUUGGGGAGCUUGAGGAAAUAGUUGAAUCUUCAACAAAUUGUGCAUUUUGUGAACACAAAAUAGUUGAUGACAAGACUACUAGGACAACCAAAUCUGUGGAGAGCAAAAUAGACAUUAACAAAAUAAAUUGCAAAUGGAUAGUUUUUAGGAUGAUUUGAAGAUGAUGAAGGCAAAUGAGAAGAAAUGGAAGAUCAAGUUGGCUAAGUCCAAGAAAAGGGAAAAACAACUAUGGACUUCUCUCAUUUGUGUAUGUAUUUUGGGUGUUUGUUUUCUAUUUCAAUUCAUGUUCUUGAAAGGAUCUCCAAGAAGGAUACCCUAAACUAAGUUGCUUUGUUUUUGUUAUGUUUUAGGGGGCUGAAAUUUGUAUCAAUUAUUAGGUGUUACCUUUGACAAAACUGCCAGUUUAUGUAAUUAAAUUGUUGUGUAAUGAAAUUUGACGGUUGAAC